rnacentral:rRNA from 1 species
CACGGGGGGAGCAAGCGUUGUUCGGAAUCACUGGGCGUAAAGGGUGUGCAGGCGGUCAGGUAAGUGGGAUGUGAAAUGCCCCGGCUCACCCGGGGACCGGCAUCUCAUACUGCUUGGCUUGAGUACGGGAGAGGAUGUGGGAAUUCCUGGUGUAGCGGUGAAAUGCGUAGAUAUCAGGAGGAACACCGGUGGCGAAGGCGCACAUCUGGCCCGAUACUGACGCUGAGGCGCGAAAGCUAGGGGAGCAAACGGG